CGUGUGAUAUGACAUUAGAGGAGAAUGUCACUUGUUCUCCUUCCGUGGAGGGUAUGAACGUCUCCAGGAAAAGAAGGGAUUGUCGUGGGCCGGAAGGGACCAUCGUGCUAUGGCACGUGGCAGCCCUGGAUACAGGUGGAGUCCAGCAGAACAAGGACACCAAAGACCUGCUUCUCUGCCCUGUGUCACUUGCGGUGCUCCGUCGUGAUGUGCUCUGCUGUACAGCCUGAAUGUGGCCUGUGCCGACAUGGACAGCACCCUCGUGUGGAACACCCAAGUCCACGCGCACCUAGUCUUAGCUAUCUUGGCAUCACCGACCGCCAAACAUCAACGACUGUACUGAUAAGCCUGCAGCUGGAUGCCGUGCCAGUGUCAGUUGUGGCGACGUGACUGCUCCUGCGGAAUGUGACACAUGGUGUUGGACAAAGCUGCUGGGGACUACAGCCUGACUAGCCCUCCUUCCCUCCCUCCAACAAAACUGUUCCAGAUUAAGUAUUGUAAGAGAAGUGCUGCUGGAACCUCUUCUGACCGUACUCCAGAUUGCGGAACAUCGUCACCAUCUUUGGUUUUACUGCUGCGGAGUUUGAGUGGCCGGCAGAGGUGUUCCUGCUGUGCAGAAGGUUCCUGAGGAGGCGUCUCAAGGAGUGCUGAGCCCUCACUGAGUGGCCCUCAAAGAAGACACCGGUAGAGUCUAAAAGUUUAUAGUUUUCCCAGGAACAUCUCCCUUUCCCUAUGACGCUGUCCUGCUGUCUCUACCAUCCAUUACCUGAUCCUACUGUGCAGCAGUUCCUUUCCCAGGAGAAGGGGCCAGCCAUGCAGCUUGACAAGGGCCCCUGUGUAGGACUGGCCAAGGAGAACCACUUCCUGGUCACUGUUCAUAUAAAGAGACAUUCCCAGCACAGGGGACGGAGCUCAGGAGGAAAUUAGAGCACUUCCAGGACAACAGUUACCAAGAGUGCCUGAGAAAACGAAUGUCAUGCCCUUUGCCCACAUGGGGACAGAACUGCACGGUCUUCAUGCUCUCACAUUGCACCUGUGGCCUGAAAGGACAUUUGCAAGCAACUAGGGGAUUCUGGCAGGGAAACUUCCAUGAGAAAACUCUCCUUGAAAUUCCGCAUACAUCCUGGAAACUCCCUUUGAUGCCUCCUCUUGUAAUCCAGCCUGCUCUCCAGUCCCCAGGACAGUGGACAGAGCUUCUGAAGACACUACCUUGGAUUGAUGCCUGUCUUGCUGAUGAUGUGCAGAAUCCUGCUGCUUCCCACGGGUGUCUGGAGGAUGGU